rnacentral:sRNA from 1 species
CAGAGAGGAAGGCCUUGAGGUGGGGGCUCUGGCCGUGGUGACCAAGAGGGGUCUAGGAGUGCAAGAUGGACUUGGAUUUCUGGAAAAAGGAUGAAUCUUAAGAGAUUGUCUCAGAUUAGACUCAAGAGCCCUUAGAACUAGUGUGACUUUUUAUGGGGGUGGGGGUUGGGGGGUUAUUGCUUUCUCUCCAGGAUGAAGACGGGAAGAAGUUAUCUGAUGAGGACAUAAGAGCAGAAGCUGACACCUUUAUGUUUGAGGGUGAGGGCCCCAGUGUGGGGCUAGAGAGGGGACUGGGAUCUCUCCCUUCCAGGAACAGGGUGGGUAGAUCCCCACAACCUUCCUAUCCCCCUUCCCCCAUCCUCCCUGAGGCCCUCAAUGCAUGGGUGCUGUCUACCUUCGGGUGCUGAAGCAGCCCAGAGACCCAAGCCUGCCUUGCUGCCCCCCAGGCCAUGACACCACGGCCAGUGGUCUCUCCUGGGUCCUGUACCACCUUGCAAAGCAUCCGGAAUACCAGGAGCGCUGCCGGCAGGAGGUGCAAGAGCUUCUGAAGGACCGUGAGCCUAAAGAGAUUGAAUGGGACGACCUGGCCCAGCUGCCCUUCCUGACCAUGUGCAUUAAGGAGAGCCUGCGGCUGCAUCCCCCAGUCCCGGUCAUCUCCCGCCAUGUCACCCAGGACAUUGUGCUCCCAGACGGCCGGGUCAUCCCCAAAGGCAUUAUCUGCCUCAUCAGUGUUUUCGGAACC